GCCCUACGGGAGGCAGCAGUAGGGAAUCUUCCACAAUGGACGAAAGUCUGAUGGAGCAACGCCGCGUGAGUGAGGAGGGGUUUCGGCUCGUAAAGCUCUGUUGGUAGUGAAGAAAGAUAGAGGGAGUAACUGGCCUUUAUUUGACGGUAAUUACUUAGAAAGUCACGGCUAACUACGUGCCAGCAGCCGCGGUAAUACGUAGGUGGCAAGCGUUGUCCGGGUUUAUUGGGCGUAAAGCGAGUGCAGGCGGUUCUAUUAGGCUGAUGUGGAAGGCCU
rnacentral:rRNA from 1 species